UUUUUUCUAAAACUGUUAUUUUGAAUUGGAAGUUCCCAAUUCCCCCAUGUCUGGGACCCUUUUAGGACGGUCAUCUAGAUUGUCAAUCUAAUGGGGCAGCACGUGUACGGGUGUGCCCCAAACUUUUAACCCUGCCUACUUCCAUUUAAUAAGUCGAUUGUUUAUGAUAAAUUAAAUUCGUAGAUGCGAUAAUCAGUUAUUACUGAUGAAGAUGGUCUCUUGAUAAGGCGUGGGAGGUGAAACUUUGGAGAAGCGAUCCAUCAGCAUCAGAGAACAAGGUCUUGAUAUCCUCAUCCAGGGUGGCACUCCUCACCAACAUGCCCGUGCCAGAGAAGAAUGCAUUGGUUGGCUCUCAAGAAGUACGUCAAACUAUGAGUGGUGUGGGCAUCCUGCCGUAUGCUCCAUUGGACAUCUGAUCACAUCAAGACUCACCUGCAUGCAUACAUGCGUUUAUAUAUAUGCACAUCAUGCAUCUAUGCAAGUCAUGGACAAUGCAACCUCUGCAUAUAAGUGCAAUGUAAACAGAUCAAGACAUCCGACCACGUACAAUUUACAACAUGAAUUUGGCCCACCCAUGGUUCGGAUAUGAAAUAUGUAAUUGUGAUUCACAGUUUCUGGGAAUUUUAGUAGUGGCUUGCAGAAAGAAA